GCCGGGAUGGCCGAGUGGUAAGGCGCACGCCUGGAAAGCGUGUUCCCUCACGGGAUCGGGGGUUCAAAUCCCUCUCCCGGCG
rfam:halophilic archaeon J07HB67 genomic scaffold scf_7180000098878, whole genome shotgun sequence.